rnacentral:rRNA from 1 species
UGGGGGAUAUUGCACAAUGGAGGAAACUCUGAUGCAGCGACGCCGCGUGAGUGAAGAAGUAUUUCGGUAUGUAAAGCUCUAUCAGCAGGGAAGAUGAUGACGGUACCUGACUAAGAAGCCCCGGCUAACUACGUGCCAGCAGCCGCGGUAAUACGUAGGGGGCAAGCGUUAUCCGGAAUAACUGGGCGUAAAGGGUGCGCAGGUGGUUUAACAAGUUAGUGGUGAAAGGCAUAGGCUCAACCAAUGUAAGCCAUUAAAACUGUUUAACUUGAGUGCAGGAGAGGAAAGUGGAAUUCCUAGUGUAGCGGUGAAAUGCGUAGAUAUUAGGAGGAAUACCAGUGGCGAAGGCGACUUUCUGGACUGCAACUGACACUGAGGCACGAAAGCGUGGGGAGCAAACAGGAUUAGAUACCCUGGUAGUCCACGCCGUAAACGAUGAGUACUAGGUGUCGGGUGAAGAACUCGGUGCCGAAGUUAACACAUUAAGUACUCCGCCUGGGGAGUACGCUCGCAAGAGUA